rnacentral:rRNA from 1 species
GGGCCCGCACAAGCGGUGGAGCAUGUGGUUUAAUUCGAUGAUACGCGAGGAACCUUACCAGGACUUAAAUGUAAGUUGCAUGAUUCAGAAAUGAAUCUUUCUUCGGACUACUUACAAGGUGCUGCAUGGUUGUCGUCAGCUCGUGCCGUGAGGUGUCAGGUUAAGUCCUAUAACGAGCGCAACCCCUAUCGUUAGUUGCCAUCAAGUAAAGUUGGGAACUCUAGCGAAACUGCCGGUGCAAACCGUGAGGAAGGUGGGGAUGACGUCAAAUCAUCACGGCCCUUACGUUCUGGGCUACACACGUGCUACAAUGGCCGGUACAGAAAGCAGCCACUAUGCGAAUAGGAGCGAAUCUUCAAAGCCGGUCUCAGUUCGGAUCGCAGUCUGCAACUCGACUGCGUGAAGCUGGAAUC